rnacentral:rRNA from 1 species
AUUGAACGCUGGCGGCAGGCCUAACACAUGCAAGUCGAGCGGCGCGGAGGACGGGGGAGGAAUGACUAGGAAUCUGCCUGGUAGUGGGGGAUAAAGUCAGGAAAGGGGAGCUAAGACCGCAUACUAUCAAAUGAGCCUAGGUCGGAGUGGCUAGGUGGGGGGGUAAAGGCCUACCAAGGCGACGAUCCAUAACUGGUCUGAGAGGAUGAUCAGUCACACUGGAACUGAGACACGGUCCAGACUCCUACGGGAGGCAGCAGUGGGGAAUAUUGGGCAAUGGGCGAAAGCCUGAUCCAGCCAUGCCGCGUGUGUGAAGAAGGUCUUCGGAUUGUAAAGCACGUUAAGUUGGGAGGCGUUACCAACAGAAUAAGCACCGGCUAACUUCGUGCCAGCAGCCGCGGUAAUAC